CUCCUGUGCAAGUAGAGGUGCAGGUACACGACUAAAGAAACUUAGGGAAGCCAUCAGUAUAUGAGGAUGAGGAGUAAUGAUCUGUAUUUAUGGCUAGUCUACUUUCUAGAAGACGUCUGAUGUAAUGAAGAACCCAUUAAAUAUGUCCAAGUAUCAAGAAAAUUUCAAGUGAAGCUAGGUGCAUAGAGAUGGAUAUAGAAGCUCUUCUUUAAAUACAACCCAACUGCAAAACCUAAUAGUGCCGGAUGACCCUGAUAACUUCCUUGACUGCUGCAAAUGGUCCGAUGUCUACUGCAAUAACUCCACAGGUCGAAUUCACAGGCUUGAUUUUGAUGAAUUUAUGUCUGGUUGUGAAGACAGUGAUAGGUUUUUGAUGCAGCGGUUCCAUUUAUGCCCUUCACUGCUUGUCCUGGAGGACUUGCUCUACCUACUUACCUAGACCUCAGUGAGAUAUCCGUCGAUCACUCCUCAGCUUGGCGUAUCCCUGUCUUCCUAGGUCCUUCUCCCACUUAAGGUACCUGUAUAACGAGCCAGUUAAUAAUUCAUUAGUGAGGUAUUAUUCAUAUGCUUGUUAUUAAUUAAGGAAUAUUAGAUUUGGCUUAAAGAAACUUUUACUGCUUAUGUAAAAUAAGAGUAGUGAAUCAUGUCGUAGUUUAAAUGUCAU